rnacentral:rRNA from 1 species
CGGGGUGGAGUAAUGUCUGGGAAACGGCCUGAUGGAGGGGGAUAACUACUGGAAACGGUAGCUAAUACCGCAUAACGUCGCAAGACCAAAGUGGGGGACCGUUCGGGCCUCAUGCCAUCAGAUGUGCCCAGAUGGGAUUAGCUAGUAGGUGGGGUAACGGCCCACCUAGGCGACGAUCCCUAGCUGGUCUGAGAGGAUGACCAGCCACACUGGAACUGAGACACGGUCCAG